CUGGCAUCUACCACCCCGCAUAGCCCUCCAAACCACUCCCACUUUAUCUGCAUUCUGAUCCCAUUUCUUCUUUGUAAUUUAAAUUUUAAUUACACAAGUGAUAUAAUGUUCUUUAAAAAUAAACUUAUAGAGAAGACUAAAGUCCCCUUUAUCAGUUCCUCCAAUCUUCCUCCUUCCCCCUUGCCCAGGUAGCAUGGCUCAGUGCUUGAGGAGUAUACUUCCAGAUUUCUAAACUGCUUUGCUGAUUUGAUCUGGGGCCCUGGAGUGCCAACAUCCUGUGAUAGCGGCUGAUUGUUGAUGCCUGGGAGGAUACAGCAGUGACGAUCCAAAUUUACAAGACUCAACAUGGUUUUCAAAACUUCCUUUUAAAAAAGAUGUUCCUGAGUUCUGGAAUCUGAACAAAAUAUGUCUGGUUAUUAUAUAAUUCUAAUGGUCCUUGUGGAUGCUACCAUUAGAGUUCAGUUAGUGUCUCAUCUAUCACUGUAAUAUUUGUAUUGUAACACUAAUCGUGGCAAAGUAUGAUUUGAUAAAUGCUCAUUCUCAAAUCUUUUAUUUUAGUGUGUUCAUGUAAGAUUAAUGACCAUGAUGACUUGAGAUAGAAUUUUUUGAUUUGUUGCUUUCUUUGUGUCUUCCAAUAUCACACAGAUUUGCAAAGAUAUCUAUGGCACAAGGGGAGAAAAUAAUAACUUAACUAGAGGAUAGGAGUAAGGCCUUCUAUUAACAAGACACUGUUGACAUUUCUAGGUAGAUUUCAGAAUUCUCCAGGCAUGCCUGGUAGAAAUUUUAGAAAUAAAAGCCAGGAAAGAAAGGCAGAAAGACUAUGUUGGGACAUUAGCAAUUUCUUCCUACCACAAUAUUUCUUUAUUCACUGUAAGUAAAUCUAAUGCUAAUUUAUUUAUCUGUCUAUCCUUUGAAUUACAAUUUAAAAUGUCAUAAAACAAAGAUUCAGAUAAGAUAGCUGAUUUGCUCAUAUUGAACGUCACAUUGAUUUUCACCAUCUGAGGCCCAUUGACAUCGUAUGGAUAUUAGAGAACCUGGAAUCACCAAGAUGGGGUUCUCCCACUGUUGUCUUCAUGAUCCAUGAUCAUUUGUACACAGUAAAUAUUUAUUUGAGUACAAUGACUUUACAAAUGAUACAUGCAGAUUCUGUAUACAAGGCUGAGAGUGAGUAGACCCAAUUUCAAACAAAAGGUUAUAUAUGUGACCAGUGAGAGUUUUCUAUCAUUCUCUAGGAGGCUAGACUAGGCAGAGUGCAAUUUAGGCCCCUGUGUGGUAAGGUGAGUUUUAAAAUUCCUCCUUUAUUUUCUCACUUGUUUUGGACAGCCAGGACCCAAAACAAAGCUAUUUAUUUGAAACCUCUCUCCUCUCUCUCUUCUUCCUCUUUCAUCAAUUUGAUUCCCUUUUUAUUAUCAUUAUUUAUGUUUUGUAUAACUAGAAAAAUAAUUUGUCAUGGAUUACAUCUUAUUUGCAAGAGGCUCUAGUAAGAUGGCAACAAGGCAUGCACAAUAUAUCAUAAUUUAGCAGCUUCUCUUGUAACUAUACUAAACUAGUGGUGGAAGAAAAUACAUAUAAACAACUCCGACAACAGAUUUUGAAUGAUCCAGUAACUUUGAUUUAUAUUUGGUAUUUGAUGGAACUGUAUUAGCAGUUAAAGCCAAUGGCUAAAUGAUUCCCAACACAAAAUGAGUCAGAAGUACAAAAGAAGCUUUACAAUGCACAAUAGAGAGCUCUGAGCCUCCCAGCUUAAAUUUCCAAAUUGCAGUGUAAAUUACAGGACUGCUUGUCAAUUUUAACUAACAGUUCUACCCAAUAGGGUCUAGCUAGGUAAUUCAUCCAUUAUUCCUUUAUGAAACAGUAAACACCAGCUAAAUUCCAUUGGCUUUUCUAAAUAAAAUUGCCUCAUCUCUCAUAUCUACUGCAGAGAAGGAGUGAAUCAACCUCUGACGACAGUAAGUCCCACACAACAAACAACAUGUGAAACCUGGAAUUAGUUAAAAAUGCUUUCCAUAUUUGUUAAUAGAAUUGGGUGCCAAUCAUCUUGAGAUGAUCUCAACCUUCCCAAGUUCUUUUGGUGGAAGGACUCUCACAUUCUUCUAUUUCCCCUCCUUACCCUAUAUUUUCUCUCAUCCCCAAAUAACUAUUUUCUCUUCACUUGUUUCCUCUAUGGCUUUCCCUGUCACAAAGAAGAAAUGAAUGAAAGAUUUGGAAGUCAAAAUCUAGCACUCCAAUUACCAACAUUAGCAGGAAGAGAAGAAUGUUCCAAAUAUCAACAAGAAUCUCAAAUCUAACCAAGCAAAAUAUGCAAUUAUGUAGGCAGAUGCUGGCUCAUCAGCCACUGAUAUAGACUGAUUUCUACCACUUCAUUAAUUUGACUUUCUUACUCUGGGCAAUUUGAUCAUACCCAUACAGCAUAUUUCUUAGCCAGAAAUAGAUUUGAUUGUUCUAGGCCAGGUGGGAAAGCCAAUAGAUUUGCACAAAUGCUUCACAGGGCAUCUGUAUUAUAGCAGGGAUGUGGGAAGUUUUAUUGUAGAGUUUGGAAGUGGACUGCUGAAUUCUCUUCCUUUAACCUAAUCAUGUCAUUCACGUGUGGAGCAUAGUCAGUCUUUACAUGUAUCUAUUGGUCUUUAUUGUUCAAUUUUUUUUUUUUUUUUUGAGAUGGAAUCUUGCUCUGUCACCCAGGCUGGAGUGCAGUGGCAUGAUCUCAGCUCACUGCAAAUUCCACCCACCAGAUUCAAGUGAUUCUCAUGCCUUAUCCUCUUGAGUAGUUGAGAUUACAGGUGCAUAUUGUCACACCUGGCUAAUUUUCGUAUUUUUAGUAGAGACGAGGUUUUGCCAUGUUGGCCAUGCUAGUCUGAAACUCCUGAACUCAAGUGAUCC
rnacentral:lncRNA from 1 species